GCAGCUAACGCAUUAAGCACUCCGCCCGGGGAGAACGACCGCCAUGUGGAAACUCAAAGGAAUUGGCGGAGGCCCGAGACGGAGGUAGGGAAUGUGGUUUAAUUCGAAGCAACGCGAAGAACCUUACCAGGUCUUGACAUCCUUUGACCACUCUAGAGAUAGAGCUUCCCCUUCGGGGGCAAAGUGACAGGUGGUGCAUGGUUGUCGUCAGCUCGUGUCGUGAGAUGUUGGGUUAAGUCCCGCAACGAGCGCAACCCUUAUUGUUAGUUGCCAUCAUUCAGUUGGGCACUCUAGCAAGACUGCCGGUGACAAACCGGAGGAAGGUGGGGAUGACGUCAAAUCAUCAUGCCCCUUAUGACCUGGGCUACACACGUGCUACAAUGGGAAGUACAACGAGUUGCGAAGUCGCGAGGCUAAGCUAAUCUCUUAAAGCUUCUCUCAGUUCGGAUUGCAGRCUGCAACUCGCCUGCAUGAAGCCGGAAUCGCUAGUAAUCGCGGAUCAGCACGCCGCGGUGAAUACGUUCCCGGGCCUUGUACACACCGCCCGUCACACCACGAGAGUUUGUAACACCCGAAGUCGGUGAGGUAACCUUUUUGGAGCCAGCCGCCUAAGGUGGGAUAGAUGAUUGGGGUGAAGUCGUAACAAGGUAGCCGUAUCGGAAGGUGCGGCUGGAUCACCUCCUUUCUAAGGAA
rnacentral:rRNA from 1 species